rnacentral:rRNA from 1 species
GAUGAACGCUAGCUACAGGCUUAACACAUGCAAGUCGAGGGGAAACGACAUCAAAAGCUUGCUUUUGAUGGGCGUCGACCGGCGCACGGGUGAGUAACGCGUAUCCAACCUGCCCACCACUUGGGGAUAACCUUGCGAAAGUAAGACUAAUACCCAAUGAUAUCCCACGAAGGCAUCGGAAUGGGAUUAAAGAUUUAUCGGUGAUGGAUGGGGAUGCGUCUGAUUAGCUUGUUGGCGGGGUAACGGCCCACCAAGGCAACGAUCAGUAGGGGUUCUGAGAGGAAGGUCCCCCACAUUGGAACUGAGACACGGUCCAAAACUCCUACGGGAGGCAGCAGUGAGGAAUAUUGGUCAAUGGGCGAGAGCCUGAACCAGCCAAGUAGCGUGCAGGAUGACGGCCCUAUGGGUUGUAAACUGCUUUUAUAAGGGAAUAAAGUGAGUCUCGUGAGACUUUUUGCAUGUACCUUAUGAAUAAGGACCGGCUAAUUCCGUG